rnacentral:lncRNA from 1 species
UCCACUGGAACUUCUGUGCUGGUUGUCUCUGCAGCUGGUGCUUCAGCUGGCUUCUCUUCUUCUGCUGGUUUCUCUUCCUCAACAGGAGCUGGUGCUGCCUCCUUCUUGGUCUCUUCUUUGGGCUCCUCAGUAACAGUUUCUGCAGGAGUCUCCUCAGGAGUUUCUUCUACUGCUGGAGCUGCAACCUCUUCAGGCUCAGCUUUUGCUGGUUCUUCAACAACCUCCUUGGUUUCAACCUCAACUGCAGGUUCAGCUUCAGGUUCUGCGGCCGGGGCAACAGCGGGUGCUGCUUCUGUUAGUUCUUCGGCUACUGGCUCAGAGGCGGGUGGUGCAGUUUCAGUGGUUGUCUCCUCGGUCUUGGUCACCUCAGGUACCUCAGCCUCUGGAAUUGCUGGAGCAGCUGCAACCUGCAACAAUAAGCAUACUGAUAUUUAUCUCAAAAUGUAUAAUCCAAUGGAAGAAAGCUAGAAGAAGGGUUCUUUAAGAUUCAUUUUUUCUUAAUCAUCUGCUGAUCAUCCAUUCUAUCUACAGAAGUAGUUUCCUUUAACAACAAUCAACAAAAGCUUAGAAUAUGUAGAAUUCUUGCUAGAACAUAAAGAAACCUGUAGGUUGAUCAAGAAAAGAAGUUUCAAUAAACUGUAAGAUUGAAUCCUCUCCAUCGCAAUCCUCAUAUAAACAGAAGGAUCGGAUGAAAUCUAGCAUAGACAAUAUUGGAGUGGUCUAUCACUUGAGCUAGAGGUAGAAAUUUGAUCAUCAUCAAUAUAACAAGAUCAGGUUAUGAAACUUAUUUGAUCAUAAAAGUAGUAAACAACAAAUUAUAACUUGAUCAAUAAGAUAAUAUUAUACAAAAGGGCUAAUCAAUUAAUACAAGUUGAUGAAUAUCAGAUAUUAUUGUAAAACUAAAAUGAGACUGAGUGAUAUAUCACUUGAGCAAGAUCAAGAUGGGUUGUAAUAGCAUUCCACUAAGAAAUAUUUUAGAAGACAUUUUUACCUCAACAGUAGCCAUUUGGUUAAAAGCUAACAGGAUUGAAGAAAGAUUGGAGAAAAGGAGGAAGGAGGGUUGGUGUAGGCACAGGAGAAGGAUGCUUGUGAGCUAGUGAAGUGAAGAGAUGAUCAAUGAGAGAGCUAUUUAUAGAGGAGUGAUGAAAUGCAUAGAUUAAUGAGAGCAUGAGAUCAUAGGGAGCAUGCUCACUUGAAGAAUCUUUCAACAUAGACACCUCAUAUUGCUGUCAAGACACAGUGGCAUGUCUUGCUAGUUGUAAAUAUUUUAUUUCUUUUUUAAUUUUGAGAUAAGGGUUUUUUUUUAUAUGAUUUUAAUAGCUAGGAUUGACAAAUACUUGAUCCAACAAUGAAUUGGCAAUGCCAUAUGGUGGAGGCCAUUUCUCGUAUCAGCAUCAUAUCUUUCUUUUGAGUGGGUUCCUAUGUGUUUUUUUUUUCCCCAGUAGGGCAUAAUGUAGGUUAAUUACUGCUUAAAUCCCAUAUGAUGCAUUCAUGUUUCUGUGUAGGAUUUCUAUUUGAUCUUCUGUUAAUUUGUAAUAUUCUAAUUAACCUUGCAUUUUUUUUUAAUCUUUUGAUAUUUUAGUGGAAUAUCCACGGCUAGAUCAUGUUGAUAUCUAAAUCGAUAAGAAUUCAUGUGUUUUUCUUUUUAAUUUAUAUUGUUUGGAUUCAUAUUUAUAUUCUAUCCAUUAUUCAUGUAUAAAUAUUCAAUAUCAAACACAAAUAUUAUAGGAUAAAAUAAAAGUUUUUUAUAUAAGAUUUAUUUGUUUCUCAUCUUAAAAAAUUAGAAAUCAAAUCCCACUUUUUCUAUAUAUAUAAUGCAAAGAAGGUGCAAGAUUCUACCAAAAAAUAUUAAAAAAGAAAAAAAUAAUAAUCAAAUAAACUCUGUAAUUAUUGAAAUAAUAAUAAAAAAUGGUGCAUACACUAUUGCAAACCCUAAAAAGGACAGAAAUGGUGUCUCAUCCAAGAAUCAAGGCUCCUUAGUGCUAAUCUUCAUGAUAAUCAAAACCAGUGGCGUACAAGUAAUGACAAAUUUAUUUCAUAUUUUGACAUAAUCACAUGCCAAGCAAUAUAUUUGUAUGUACUAAUGGAGUACAAAAAUAGUUUUGCCAUUUGAGAACAUCAAGAUCUUCAGCCUCCACGUUAUAGCUGAAUGCAGAUCUUGUCCAUAAUUGUUUUGUUUAAUUAUUCCCAAUUAUUCUAAUUAAGUACUAAACUUAAAGAGACGAGUUUUAAUUAUUUUUUUUGUUUGAUUAAUUUUUUAUUUUUUUUUGCAUAUAUAGAUUGGAAUGAGGAUUUGGGAAGCUAGGAUAUUGAUGCAUGCAUAAUGUUUUUCAGUCGAACCCUAAUUAUGCUUACCUUUUAUUUUAUCAUUUCACCAUUUUGGAUUCAAAUUUAUAUGAAGGUUAUAAGGGAAAAAAACUAUCAUAAAUUUAAAUAUAUUAAUUCGGAUAUAUAUGAAUGAUGUGUUUAAAAAUUGAUAGAAAAAUAACUUAAUCUUGACAUAUUAAAACUAACUUGAAAUACUUUUAUAAUGAAAACAAACAAAUAUAUAUAUAUAUAUGAUUCUUUUUAAUCACUUUUAGUAUAGAUAUCAGUUAUUAUAUAGAAAUUAAUGAGAUUUUUUUGUUCAAGAGUAAGGAAUAUCUUCAAACAAGUUUUUGUAUCAACCAUGAUAUCUUCGCUUCUAAACUAAAAGAAUUAAAAUAAUAUUUUUUAAUUUAAAAAUAUAAAUGUAACCACAGUCAUACCUGUAUUUCCAAAUACAUAUUAAAUAUUAUUCUCAAAUUUUAAAAACUUAUAUUUUAUAUCAAUUUAAUUCUAAUAACAAGUUAUAUUAAAAAACACGGGCACAAUUAUAUAUCCUUGUUUCCGAACUAAAAACAUUGAAAUGAUAUUUUUUAUUCAAAAAUAAAAAUGCAACAGCAAUCAUGCUUUUGUUACCAAAUAGAUUCUAAGUAUUAUUCUUAUACGAUUUAAAAAAACAUACCUCAUAUGUUAAUGUGAUUAGUUGAAAAAAGUUAAGGUGCUCUUUUCUCCAAAGUAAUAUUCAACAAAUAUUAAUUAUGAGGAGUGUAGCUUAACUGGUAAAAUUUUGAGUUUACUCUCCAGAGAUUACCAAUUUGAGUGUUACAAACUUCAGGGCUACUGAAGAUUUACAUGGUCGUUAAUUUUAGGAUCUCGAGAAAUUAAUUAAGAUACGCGUAAUCUAACCCAAAUACUCAAAAUUAACAAUAUUUAUAUAUAUAUAUUCAACAAAUAUUUGCGGCAGCUUUGGUAUCUACACAUAUAAUGAUAGUAUUAGGGCAAAGAAAGGCUAAUUGAAGGCACUUUUAGGGCAUGAAAACACUAAUUAAGGGCCUGCCUUUUACUGUUGUGGUCAAAUAAUUUGCCAUUUUUAAGGUUUUUCACUUUUUCACUUUCCACAAACCACAAACAUUUUCAUAUUUUAGUAUCGACGUGGAGCCCAACAAAAGCCAGCAAUGGUGUCUAGGCCGGUGCCUGAAGUGGGGCCUUCAAUCACCGGCUAUGAUCAUUACCAUCCAAAUGACUCCUGUUGGAUGGCCCCCACAAUAAAAAUUGAAACAAUUUUGGUGCCAUGGUUUUUUUCUUUUCAUGGUAAUGUUCUCAAGUUGUUUUUAUAUAUUAAUUUCAUUUUACUUUACGUUUUUAAUUAGAUUAAAACAAGUUUUUCUUAUUGAUAUUAAGAUUUCGUAUAGCUACUGUUUUUUUAAAAGAUUCAUAAUAAAAAAAAUUAUUAUUGAACGCAAAAAACAUGUCAAGAUUAUAAAUAAAUAAAUAUAACCUUAUUAUCUCUUGAUGGUUUCAAAGAAAAAAAAAAGAGAUUUGAAUUAUAGUACCAGAAAGAAGUACCAUGGACCAUGAUUUUGCUUCUUUUUUUUUUCCUUCUUUAGAAAGAAGUACCAUGGACCAUGAUUUUGCUUCUUUUUUUUUUCCUUCUUUAUAUAUAUAACCCUUUUAUAUAUAUAUAUAUAUAUAUAGCCUUGGAAACCGACCUUCCUAAAGAUGGAGCUUUUGGUGGGCCAACGUCUACAUGCUUUCCAGGUAGGACUCUCGUGAUGUUGGGACCCACUUUCAGCCGUCUGAUUUGCCACGCUUGAUCACAGUCAUUGAUCUGAUCUUGUCUUCGUACAAUGCCAUCUCAUUUCUCCAAUACCAAAAUAAAAAAAAAAAACCUUCCACUCCAUGUCUUUAAAAUAUGAUAUUUUUUUAAUUAAUCAGGUAUUAGAUUUAAUCUGUAAUAAUCACGAGUUGGAGUUCUUUCAGGACCACUGGAAACUUACAUAAUCGUUAACUUCAGGACCCGUGAAAUUAGUCGAAGUGCACAUAAGCUAGUCCGGACACCCACGUUAAUAAAAAAAAUAGUAUUUUUUAGGUUAAAAAUCUUGUAUUUUAAUAUCAUCUACUAUAUUUAUGAAAAAAUUAUAUUAAAAAAUUCAUUAUGGAUACAUAAUUAUAUAAUCUAUCUAAAAAGUAAUUAAAAAUGUAUUUUCUUUUCAAUGUUAAAAAUAUUAUAGGUCCAACUUGUAAUCUAUUUUUUUUUUUCCAGAAAAAGCUAGACAUCCAAAAUUCAAAACAACAGGAUGAAAAGCUAAUUGAAAAGCUAAUUUAUCGGAAAAGAAAAAAGAACAAAUUAAAUGUGCAUCGCAUCUCAAUUUAAAUUCAUGUACAUGUUGAUCAAGAGUGGUAAUUAAAAUACCAUAAAUGUGUUCAUAACAAUAAAUAUAUAUAUAUAUAUAUAUAUAUAUAUAUAUAUAUAUAUAUAUAUAUAUAUAUAUAAAUGCGAGAAAUGAUCGACCUAUUUGCACCUUGAAAGGAACAUGAUACCAUCACACCACAACAAGAGGUCCUCUGUCAUUAUGAGACUUUGCAUGACAAUCCAUUUUGCACCCUAUAGAAGAACUUGCAUUAAACCACAAUAUUAAUUACUCAAAUUAUUGUUGAACAACAAUAUUCCUCUCAUUAAUUUACCUUCAUUGCUUGAUAGGAGAAGAAAGCAAUCAAAAUAUAAGAAAGAAUGUUUGUGGAUUCAGCUAUGAAUUGGUUUGUUUCUAACAUUAUCGUUCAUAUUUAAAUUUAAAGAAAAAGAAAAAAAAGAAAAAAAUAAUAACUUUUGGCAUACUAAGAAUGUAUUUUUAAUCCAAAAACAACUAAAAAUUAAAUUAGUGUUUUUUUUUCAGAAAAAAAAAUUAAAUAGCACUUUAAAAAACAGGUUUAUCUACGCAAACAAACACUUGGUGUAUAGAACUAAUUUAAAAAUAUAUUGGCCCAUAAAGAAUUUCUUCUAAAAAGAGAACUACAGAUAGGAAUGGUGCGUGUGUCAUCUUCUCGUUGCCUAUACAUGGACACACUGUAAAGUGAGAAAGAAGAGAUGGGAGGUUUAAGAGGGAUCCUAAAUACGUGACCCCAUGAGAUUAUGAGCCGUUGAGCAGGUAGGAACAUGGCACAUUGGAUGGCUUGACAUGGGACAGCAUGGGCUAACCCUAAUGGCUUCUUGUUAUUGAUUACAUCAACACCCCAAUGGCCAUGAUUUAUAGACAGAGGAAGCUGUGGACUGUGUAGUGAAUCAUUUAGGUUCUUGACAGAUGAACCAUUUCUAUCAAGCUUUCUGUGGGGGCCAUAAAUCAACAUUCCUUCGACUAUGCUUCUCACCCUUUAAAAGGUCGUCGUCUGCAUGUGUGCACCAUCUAGGCUAGGCUAGGCUAGGCUAGCAUUUGAUGCGUUUCUGUAGAGAUCGGGAGUUUCACUGGUAUAAUAUAUACCUCCGUGUUUGCACAUCAAAAUAAUUUUAUAUUUUUUUUAGAUAAACAGUGUUUCAGCUGUAAUACCUAAACGCCUGUUGGAUUGUUUAUACUUUAAUGAUCAUGUAUAUACAGUAUAAUCGAAGGUGUAGAUAGCUUAUAGAUUUUAGAUAAAAUCCACAGAAGAUGAUGUAAACAUGAAAUAAUACUUCUUGAAAGAUUAGCUAUAUAUCGGAUUUGAUCUAACAUCAUUUGUAGUAUCGCAUGGCUAUGUAUUUUCAGCUCUUAAGCCUCUCAACUAGGGAUCAGGAAUCAAGAACCUAAAUAGUAUAUAAGCUUCGAAUAUGAUCACCUCUCUCCUAAAAAAAAAAAAAACAUUUUCAAAACAAAACCCACUAUAAAUCUAUGAGUUAAAACAAUACAUUUUAGAAGACCAAUUAUGUAACGAAUUUAAGCCAAGAUCAUCGUAUUGAUUAUGUCUUGUAUUUUGGCUGCUAAGAUUCCAACAAGGUUGGUGUAAAAGGAGCUUUCAAUGCCGCCAUAUCAGGAAACUUUACAGCAGGAGGUAACAUUUUACUGUCAUCUAGAUUCAGCAUGUCAAUGUUUUUAAGCAUGUAUGUAAUAAGCAUAACACAAGCCCAUAACGUGUCCAAGCAUGCAAGAGCCAAGAAGGAGCAUCUCAGGACGUACAGGUUUGAAGUUUCAAACCUUGCCAGGUUCAGAGACACACAGUUCUUCCUUCUCUAAAAUUCAACUGAAAUUUGUAAGCAAAUCUUGUAAAUGAAUCUCAUUGAUAUGAAAGGGAGAGCACAGAGUACAGUGCAGAAAUAGAUAAUUGCUCCUCUAGAUAUGAAAUUUCAGUAUUUGGAACUUGAGAGGGAAAUCCACUCUGAGGGUGGCCCAGGGACAGCUUUAUGCUGCUAAAUUUUCUGCUAUAACUUAGCAAUCCACCUGGUCAAUAGAGAAAGUGUUUAACAAAGAAGGGGGGCAGCUCCGACAGGAUACAUCAAUGAAGGUUCGAAGUGACAGAAGUUUCCAACACAGAAUGUCAGCUUAGGCUGAAUCUGUUUAUCUUUUGAAUCUUGUAAAGUUCCCACCAUAUAUGAUGGCUAUCGAGUAAUAAUGCAAUUUACUGUAAACCCUGGAGAAAAAGAAACAAACACCAUAGGAUUGCUCAACCCACUAGAUAAAGGCAUCACUGGUUCGUCCACUCGCAGAAAAAAGAAAGAACAGAUACAAAAAUCAAGCAUUAUCUAAAACCUAGCAUCAUAACACACUACCUGGUAAUUGAUUUCAUUGUCAAGUCAUUAAUAUGUUUCAAAUGUUCUUGGACAGCAAGCUGAAAGAUAUGCGUUUACAGGGAAAGUAUGAUAUUACCACCAGCAGUGUGGAAAAUUUCUCCAAUGGUUGUAAUAAAAUUCGAAUUCAAUCUAAAUGCUACAAUGAUGGAUUCGCUGGUUCUUAUAAUUGUUAGCCAACGCACUGACAGCGAACAAGCAAAACUCCAGUAAGAAUCCAUGAAAGAACAAGGAAGCCUUGUUGAGCAUAAACCCAUUUGGCAGCUGGCGCUUGUUGCCGAAGUUCAGCUCACAAGUUUUUUCAACACUGCUUCAGCACGCUGCUCAAAUUUUGGUAGGGCCCAUUCAUGCUGAAUUAUGUCAAGGCCAUCUUUCUCAGCACUCAAGUUCUGAGGAGAAUACAGAUAGAUAAGAUUAGUAGUCAACAGUUUUUGCUUAACAUUAUACGUACAGAUAUAUACUCACCGAGUUAAAAUAUGAAAGAGAAGUUGUAUGGUACAAAAUUCUUUCUUGGUACAUCUCAUACUUGAACCAUAUAUUUAACUGAUUACAAGGCAAGGCCAGUGGACAUUCUUGCCCAUAAAAUUUAAUUUACAUUUAUAAAGUACAAAUCAGUCCCAACAAUUCCAAUCCCUUUGGAAAAUGCAAUAUAUUCACACCUUUCCAGAUCUUCCAUUACCUGGCUAAAAUUCAACUGAUGAAAACGGGGAUCAAGUAUGUUGUCGGGGUCCCAUAAGAAAGAUUCUCAACAAUAAAAAAUCAAAACCCUAAUCAUGCACAAGACAUUUCUAAAGUAACAAAGAAAAAGAAGCCAAUGCUGUUCAGAAAAGCAGGUUAGUAAUUAUGGUGACAUGCUUAGAAAAUUUAAAACAAAUUAAAGCAGGCAUCAUGGAAUGCCCCACAUGCCUAAUCAUGUAUACCUAUGACCAUUUCAUAAGAGUAUCAUAACCGCACCACCUGAGGAGCAAAAGAGUGGCCGAGGCAGCAAAAUGGACAGCUGGAAAUGAUGGCAGCAGCCAUAAGAGAGGCUAGUCAAAUAGAGAAUGAACAUUACAGCGUUGACCUGAACCAAGCAAGGCCUAACUUUAUAGUGUUGACCUCAUUAUUAUGAAUCAAAUCCCACAUUAUGCUUUCUUUUUGGUGUGUGCAGUGGGGGAAGGUGAUUGGGGGUUCUGUAAAGAAUCUCCAAUGUUAUUCUUUUGGCGUUCGCUUCAAUUGGUGCAAAAUGAUAGAGGAUCCAGACAUGCAGUUAUCCAGAACUGACCAAACCCAACCCACAAUGGCAAACCUAGGCCCAGUACUGAGAAAAUUAAGCUGGCCAAGGGCAACCUCAAGGCUGUCAUCUCCUUUACUCGGUGUCUUAAAUAUUCCUGCCUGCAAUAUUCCUUUUACAACCCACCAGUCAAAUCAGUCUAAUCACAACCCAUUCUCGGCAUAGUGCUAGCAAAAAGCCUUCUAUUUUCGUAGGAAGUGGCGGCAGAUAAUAAUAAUAAAAAGAGCUCUAUACACAAUACUAAUCACAAGGACAAGUUCAAGUGCAAUUUGAAGCCCUUCAAUUGACAAAGUUAUAGUCUUCUGAAAUAUAACUGGGGAUCCAUAGCUAAUUCUAUCAUAGAGAAAUCUAAGAGCCUAUAUCAAUGAUAUAUCAUAUAAGGACUUCCUUUAAUUCCAAAUCAUCUGCUAUUUGGCUUUUCCCAGAAAAGAAAAAAGGUAUUAAGGAAAAAAAAGGCAAGCUGCAUAACAGACAGUUGAGCUAACUGGACCACUUAAGAACUCAAUAUGAUAAGCAAUGCCUGCAAGUGAUAAUAAUGAAAAGGUGCAGCCAAUGACCUACAGCAUCAUAGUAUUUUUGGACAGCAUUGACAACAGGCAGGACACAAUAAGGAACCCACCCAGAUACCUGUUACCUAAACACCAGCACCAGUGCUUGCAAUAAGUCUAUAUGGAAGCUAUCUACUUCUAAUGAACCCUUGAAACCCCAUCAGCCAUCAACAACUCAUGAAAGGACAUGGUAGUCUUGCUUAGUUGGUACUUGGUAGACAAUGGAUACCUGUUACCUAAACACCAGCACCAGUGCUUGCAACAAGUCUAUAUGGAAGCUGUCUACUUCUAAUGGACCCUUGAAACCCCAUCAGCCAUCAACAACUCAUAAAAGAACUUGGUAGUCUUGCUUAGUUCGUAGUUGGAAGACACUUGUUGCCUCUAGCACCAUUAAAUCACCAGGUCUAAAAUUCUAGUUGUACUUUUGUAGAGGUUUGAAUUGUUCAAUUUAAAUAUGGUCCAACAGCUUCUUAAUUUCUUUUACUCAUUUAAAUAAAAAGACUUAGCUGUUAAGAUGUAUCUAAAUAGCAAUUCCAAUGGGAAAGAUUGAUUCAACUCCCAAUCAUCUCUAUUCAAAUCUGAGUUGCUAGUAAAACCACUGAAUCUAAAGAUUUUGUUCAUGAUAGAAUCAUAAAGAUGUAUCAUGAAUUUGCCUUUUUCACACAAUGAUGGGAUCACAAUUAAAUAAAUGGCAACUACUUAACUACAAAGCCGUAUGGUCCCAGUGACAGUAUCCAUCUAUUCCCAUUAGUACAACCUUGGCAGUAUCAAUCUACAUGGUCUAGAUUUAGGGCAGUAAAAUAGAAACCAGCAGAUCAAUACACAAGGGCAAUUCUUUGGACACAAUAACAGUCAUACUGCAAUCGAUGUAGUAAGGACAUUAUUAUUAAUAACUAAAUCUGUUCAAAAAGAUCAUGUAAGGUAUACUCAUUAUAGAUAGUAGUCAAAAAGGACUGAAAAUAUCUAUAAUGUUUAACCAUUUAAACAGUUUGGUUUUGCAAGCUAAAAUGAUCAGUAGAGGGCCAGUUAAGUUUGUACCUUGGUUGGAUCAAAACCAAAACCACCCAUUUGCAUCAUCCGCUGGGUAUCAUCCAUAGCUGCAUUACAAAUAUCGUAUUUGAGCAUCUAGAGAAUAUAUCCAGAAAUCCUAAAGUAUGCUAAAGUCCAAUUUAUGCUUCUAGACUCUGGCACCAAUGAUUUUGCAAGAGAAGCAGCAAUUCAGAUCUCAGACAAAAUAGAUAUAACUACGAAGAUUUAUGAACUAAUACUAACCAUUUUCUUCACCCAGAAUGAGACUAAAUAAACCCCUUAAUCCAAACAAAUUAAGGAAAUACCUGCAACAGAAAGGGAUUGUGGACAAAUAGAGAUAUUAAACCAAGCACAAGUCCAGAAUUCUCUAGAAAAAGCUUCUCAGCAAUUUUUCAGAAUAUAAUUUCUCAUAUAGACAAAUACCAUGAUCGACUGCUAACAUAGCUAACAUCCACAGUGCUCAAAUCAAUCCCAUUUUGCAGCAUUGAUCUGAAUCUCUGAGUCAGUGGAAAUGGUAUCUUGGCUGCAUGGAAUAAGAGAUCAUAACAAAGUUGUAAAGAUCAAAUCCAGAAGGAAUUUAAGAUCGACAAAGGUCAUAUACUCAUAAAUUACUUAUAAAAUAUAGAGAUAAACCAUAUUUUGGCAUGAAGGACAUGAAACGUAGUUUAAGAAUCAAAAAGCUAAAAAAAAAAAACAAAAAAAAAAGACUGACCUGCAACAAAUCCAGAGAAGAAAAAGUUGACCCAUGCAAAGGUAAGAGUCUGGAAGAAGAAAAAAUCACAACUCAAUAUGCUAAAUUAUCUUGUUUGAAAAGACACAUUAGAGAAGGCCAAAAAGCUCUUGAACUGUUAAUACCUGGGGUAUAAUCAUAGAAAGGUUUUUCUUCAUCAUAUCCAUGGCCAUAUUUGGGUCAGAGAACAUUUGUGCUUGUGGAUUCUGACCCUGGCCCUUGGGAACAUGCAACAAUCCAUUUUCCUAAUCAAGAGUAAUUAACUUUUACGUUAGCAUCUUACCUACUGGAAAUGGAAAAUUUCAAGCUAGCAUCAGAAUUAUGACCCUAAAUGUAGCUCUCACAUACCAAAUCUGAGGUGCACAAGCAAAGCAAUGCAACAUAUCAUAUAUCUAAACCCCUCCAAUACAUUUAAAAAAAAUACAAUACGAAUCAUGUCAGACCUGCUUGGAAAUUGAAAGAAAAUGUACUUUAAAAAAAACAACCAAAUCUCAAAUCUCUUUCACAAAAUUAACCACAAAACAUAACCAAUUUAGAUACUUCUACAAACAAUUAACAAAUCCAACAUUCAAUCACCCUAAACCAAACAAACCAAAAACAAUAAAAAUAAAUCAAAACCUCAUUGCUAAAAUAAGCCCUUCGAGCUCGAAACGACUUAGCAGGUAUAAAGUUAGCUCCAGCUCGCAAAUUCCUUGCUCUCACAACAACUUGCCUGCAAUAAAAUCACAACAACAAACAAACUUUAAUACAAAUAAAACAAAUUCUGACAUACGUUUUCAAUAACGUAAAAAAAAUAAAUCACUAAAACUACCAGCAAAAACAUGAAAAAUCACAAAAGAACCAGAAUUUAGCACUAAAGAGAGAGUUUAUGACAUGGGUAUUCAAUAACUAGCCAAAGUUCACCAAAACCAGCACAAAAAUAAUCUAAAUCACAAAAAGAAACAAGCUUUAACGCUAAACAGAGAUUAUGUGACAUGGGUUUUUGAUAACUAACCCUUCUUUAACAAUUUUAGCAUCCGGAGUUUGCUGAGAUUGCAUAAGCUUUGAAACAAAGUAACGAAGGAUCCCAAUAAGAAUCAUCACUACUGUUAAUGGGAUCAGCACCCAAUCUCUUAUAGCUGUGUCUAGCACUAGAUCUUCUGCCAUUGAUUUCUUGAUUGGACGGAACCCACCAAAAUCAGACACAAAGUCCUGAUCUUUCGAGAGACUAAUGUACAGUCUUUUGCUCUUUAGUUCUGGUCUCUGGUUUGUUUGUGAUUGAAGGAGAAGGGAUGUGAGUGUCUUUGUUGGAAUAGAUUAGGGGUGUUGUUGUCUUUUAGAGUAGCUGAGAUUCACAACGCAGGGUUUCAAUCUGGUUUUUUUUUUUAUUAUUAUUUAAAAUCUAUUUUAAAAAAAGUUUGAAAUAUUUUAAAUUAAAAUUAUUUUGAUAUGCUGGUAUAAAAAAUAAAUUUUAAAUUUUAAAAAAAAUUAUUUGGUAUUAUAACAGCACUUAUUUUUCAAAGUAUUUUUUAUUUAGAAAUAAAUCAAAAUAAUAUUUAUUUUAUUUUUUAAAAUUUAUUUUUGACAUCAACAUAUCAAAACAAUCUAAAAAUAUUAAAAAUAAAACAAAUAAAACUUAAUUCAUUUGAUUGGACUCAUUAAUUCAAAAUUUGAUCGAAUAGAAUUUUAUUUUAAAUUGUUUUUUAUUUUGACCUGAUGAAAUUUAAGUAUUUUAAUUAACUGACCUAUAAUUUAAGUAACCUGGCUUAAUCUAUAAAAUACCUGUUUAAGUUAAUUUUAAUUAUUUUUUUAAUUUUAUUGAAGAUAAUAUUAUUUUAAUUUUUAAUUUUAAUAUUCAUUCUAAUUGACUCUUUGAUCUGUAAAAUAACAUGAUAAACUAAUGACUCAAGCCCUAAAAUAGGCAACUGUGGUUUGGACUCGUGCAAGAAGUGUUUGUUUAUAAUAUUAAUGUUAUGAAGUUUUCUUUCAAAGCAAGCAUGUAAAAACUUAUAAUUCUUGUAUUGAUCUAUUCAAUAUAUCAUUAAUUAGAUAUGAGAGUUUACUUAAUUAGUUAAAAAUGAAUGUUUGACAUGAUUUUCAUGCUCUUUAUUGAUCUUUCAUGAAAUCAAGUAAAAUAUAGCUAGGGAAGUUUUUGGUAUUUUAGUAUAAAUAUUUUUUAAAAGUUUUUUUUUUAAAAAAAAUAUAUCAAAUAAUUAUUUUAGAUUUUUUUAAAAUUUUAACAUCAAUACAUUAAAAUUAUAUAUAAAAAAAAUUAAAUCAAUUUGAUGUUUUUUCACAUCAAAUUCACUUUUAAAAAACACCUCAAAGGAUCAAAUUUGAUAAUUUUUCACAUCAAAUUUAUUUUAAAAAAGCACCCAAAAUCAAAAAAUACCACUCACUAAACCUGCUUGAUACAUGACUUGUUACUUAUUAUCGGAUAAUAAUAAUUAAGUCAAAGGGUGAUCCUUUUUGUAAAUCAAUAUUUUAAGGACUGAGGUUCGAAGAAGGGCGUAAAUUUUUCUCUGACAAGUCUCUUGAAGUUUCCAGUUGCCACACUACAAAACUAGUCCCUCCCUGAGCACAAAACUUGAACUUGCUGAGUUUAACAACAGUAAUUGGAGUUCGUUCAAAACCGAGGAAAAUCCUGUCAUGGUUGAAGUGUCCGUAGAGUUCAAAACAUAAGCACCUGGAUGGCGAAAGGAAAAGCAAAAAGGGACUAGCCUGUUAAGUGGCAUAACAUGAUCAGAGCCAGUACAUAUAUAUCCUCUGGUAGACUCGUAAUGGUUUCAAUUGAUUUGAUUCGAUUCGGCUGGUGCUGUGUAUUGUUUGAGUGUGUAUCAAGGCUUUUCUGAUUCGGCUAACAAAGCAAAAGUGUUUCGGCGUAGUUUGCUUUCACUUCUGCAAGCUCGAUGUGUGUUCUGUAAAAGAAGUAUUGAAACUUCUAGCCAUCUUAAAGUGUUUUUGCUUGGAAGUUAUGGAUGGAAUUCCUAGCUUGGUGGGGUAUUAGUGGCUGCUUCCCAAAAACUGCUGAUGAUAUGUGUUAGUAAUGAUCUACAAUGGUGCCAGGAAAAUUCAGAAACAUUCAUGGCAACCUCUCUUUACUUGUAUUGUUUGGAGUCUGUGGCUUCAUCGGAAUGAUGUAAUCUUUAAUGAUGCUACUCCAGAUCUUAUGGUUGAAGAUUGAUAGAAACACUUUUGCUUACACCGGAAUAUUGGAUCUAGGAUCAAAUUCUGGAAUAACAGAAUAACUCAUAGCUGACUUUUACCAUCUUUUCUUUUGCCUUACUUUUAUGGCUUCUUUUUUUUUUUUUUUUUUGUCUUGUUUCUGUUGUUUCCUUUUUUUUCUACUUCUUUGACUGUCUUCUUAUUAGCUAAAGGUAAUAAAAUCUAGAAGCCUGCCUUCUCAAUGGGGUGAGUUUAAUUUUCUCUAAUUACAUUCAAGUUCGAAUCUGCUGGGAAUCAAGCUUUCCUUGAUAAGCAUCAUGUUAAAGUAGUUGUAGUAGAAUCAGCUUAAAAUCCCAAAUCAAUUACAAGUAUAAAAAUAUAUAAAAAAUAAAUGUAAUCAAUCACAAGAUUAUGUACAAAAUUUACGUAAUUUAAUAACUUAUGUCUUAUUUUCAUAGACAAGACAAUCAAAAAACAAAAUUUAUAUGAGAAAGUAAAAAUUACAAGGUAAAUCCAUCCAAAAUCCCAAAUUAAAUAACCCAACGUUGACGGCUAUUUUUUUUUUUUUUUGAUUCGAGGAAACUCCACUCUCUGAAAAGCGUACUUUGUGAGUUCAUGUGAAUGAGUAAAAUUCCGGCUGUUCCAGGCUCUUACAAGAGAUGUACACCCUGACUCGAACUCGAGACCUAUUGUGUAGAUCUCAAACCCUUUAUCAUCAGACUACGCCUCCUAGAAACAUUGACUACUAAUUGCUAACGCUAAUCCGACUACUUAAUUACGUAUGGUUUUCUGCAAGGUAUCAUUCUGUAGGUAUCAUUCUUGGGAUCAUGCAGAAUGCUUGCCUUUUCACCUGCCUCUAUCAGAAUUUCAGCAUUUUUCAAAGUAAGCAGGGGCUUCAAAAAUAUGUAGUUAUAGCCCUCAACUCUCUGAGGCAGCUUAAUCACAAACCGCAGUUCCCAUGAAUCCUUCAUGGACCAAAUGUAAGCCUCGUCAACUUUUGAAAGAUAGAAGGCUGAUAUCAAUUCAUCAAGCAUAUAUACUUGUCUCCAUGUGAAUUCCCUCAUUGUAAUUCAAAAUAGACUCUGGUUAUCUCCUUGAACUCUUCUCUGCUCAUGUCAUAUGAAACUAUCAAAUACCACCCCGUCCUUCCGAUCAUGCUAGUUGCUUUCUGGAUAAGAAAAUCAUUGCCAAGCCAAAUAGCAGCUUUGUAAUUCAGAUGGAAUAAUGGAAUAUACCUCCAAUGUCCUUCCACCCAUCAGCUUUCAAAGAGUAGACUCUAGGGCCUCAAUUCAUAUGAGUCGAUGUCAAUGAAUGGCUUAUCAUUAUAUGAACACAUCUUAUGACCUUGUAAUCAUCUUCUUCUUGAAGAUAACCAAACCCCAACAAAGGGAAAGAGUUCUCAACUGUGGCGAUAUUGAAACCCGAGAAUGGAAGGAGUAAUUUGAAAACCCCAAUAGAGGGAUUCAAGAGAAAGAUAUCUCGAUAGCACUUUUGGUCCGAAAUGCAAAUUAAGUAUGCCCUUGCAUGAACCAGAAAUUUCUACGUUUUCUAUGCUUAAUGAAAAAGGCAAUGACAGCCUUCUUGCCUUGCUCCAUUCUUCAUCUUCAACACAAUAAAGCUUGGAGUCAAGCUUCAGGACAAGAUUUGGGUUCUUCAAAUUUGCUAUUUGGAUGCUACUUAACAAAUUCUAGACUGCCAAGGAAUAUUGCCAACAUUGACUUGACAGGCAGUCUAGCAAAAAUGUCAGUGAUGAUUUAUCACUAGGAAUGUUAGAUGACAUUUCAGUGAAUGUAUAGUUGCUGGUGGAUGCUGCUGAGCUUGGUGAACUCAUUUUUGGCUAUAGGCAUAUAUGUUGUCAGAUUAGCUGUAUCCAAGGAUGGGAGAAGAUGGGAAUAUAUAUGGACAAAGCAGGAGGGCUCAUUGGCCAUACUUUCAUUAAUGAAAGAUAUCUGAGUAGAUUCCGAUCUACUAUUUUCUUGAGAAAAUAAGGAACCUCCUUAGAUUACUGCUUGAAGCAAUUGAAAGUAUUGUUUCAAAUUCUUUUCUUGCAAUGAAACCCCAAAAAAACAAAGAAUCUUUUCUUGCAUGUUACUUAACCUUUCUUUGUUCCAAAGGUUCCUCAAAAUAAUUCUAUAUCCUCAAAACUUAUGUUUAUGAUGCAUCCCACAUGCUUAUGAUCUUCAUUCCUUCAACAUUCCAAUGGCCAUUGUCUCUCACCCCACCUUGUUAAACGGAACUAGACUAUUCGUCUCAAAUUCACCUCCAAAACUCACCCCACAAGCAAGGAAUUCCUACAGUCCCACUACUAGUCAUAAAAAUAUACGUACAAGAAUUUGUGCUUGUGUUGCGAAAUGCCAUCCACAAUUCUUGCACCAACCUUUGAUUGAAACUAGCUUCUCUUCAAGGCAUAGAGACUUAUUGCCACUAGUGCCAUCCAAUGCUAAGACAUCAUCAGGAUCAGGAGAGGAAGAUAACCCAGCUGUAGAAACAGUUCUCAAGCUUUACACAUCAAUCAAGAACAAAAAUAUCAGGGAAUUGUCUGAUAUAAUUGGUGAUGAAUGCCGAUGUGUUUGCAAUUUCUUCUCCUUCUUCCAACCCUUCCAAGGGAAACAGGCAUGCCCAUUAAAUUUCCAACUUGCUAAAUUCUUUUACCUAGAGUUGUAGCAUCACACAAAUGAUAUACAUGUGAUUCCUUUUGUUUUCCUUUUGCAGCAAGUGUUGAAUUUUUUCAAAAUUCUGAUCAAAUUCUUGGGAAACAAUUUUGAAUUUGUCGUGCAACCUACCUUCCAUGAUGGACUGAAUGUUGGCGUAGCUUGGAGACUAAGUAUAUGCCACUGCCUUCUAUCUCCCUUUGUUGGUUUUUUGGGAAAACUUCAUUAACAUCCCUAAUAUUUUACCUCUUUCUCAAUAUUGUCAUCCUAAACCGAUUAAUUUUAUGAAUUCCUCAUUCAAAACCUAUUAGAAAUUAAGCAAUGCUUCCUUUCCAUAGACAAAACACGUUCAGAAAACACCUGGGUAUUCUAGCAUGGGAGGGAAACAUUGUUUAAUUCAAAUAAGUUUGGGAUGAGAAAUCGAUAAAAUUAAUCAGUUUGGGAUGAAAUUAAGAAUCAAAUAAUAUGUUAGGGACACAAAUGAGGUUCUUCUUCUUCUUCUUCCUCCUUUUUCCUUGAUAAUUAGGAGGGCUCCAAGUGGAGACUUGGGGAGGGGACAAGGUACACAACCAACCAUAGCAAGUUGGCUAUAUAUGUUGUCAUUGCCAUCUCUUCACAGGGAAAUUAUCACAGUUUUGAGGAGUUGCAAGGGAAGCUUUUCUUACCAUGUUUUUUUUUUAUGUUUGGUUAAUUUAUUUUGUAAUUUGUAGACUGGAGCAAGACACAUGUGCCUUUCGGAAAGGGUUUCAGCUUCUACAUUCUCCAAGUAUACCAAGGGAGGAUCGUCAUAAGGUGUGUGAUCAAAACAUCUCCACAAGAUUAUCCAUUAACCUCAAAUUUCAAAAAAGAGAAACACUCAUUUAAUAUAAUAUAUAAAUUAAUCACUUAGUUAUUAUCUUUGAGAUAGAAAAUUGAAAGAUAAAAAGAUGGGAAAGAUACGUCUCAUUGUAUUUUUUUAUUUGAAAAUAUAGAAAUUUAUUCUAAAACUAUUAUAUAUAUAUAUAUAUAUAUAUAUAUAUAUAUAUAUAUAUAUAUAUAUAUAUAUUCAUUUUAUUUCUUCGUUUUUAAGUCUUCAAUCAUACACUUUUCCGUCUUUAUUAACUUUAUAUUUUGUAUUUGUACAUAAUUAUAUAUGACAAAUUAAUUAUUAUAUAGAUUGAGCCAAUAGUAUAAAAAAAAUCUGACCACUAGCUUUAGCAAUAAUGGUUGGAUUUACUGUAUAUUACAUGAGCUAAAUAAUAUUGAUGAUGCAUGAGCUUUCCAUUUGUCCAUCUCAUGAAUGACAGUACUAUAUAUUACAGGAAUGUGGAGAUGUUCAUGGAACCACUUCUUCAUAUUGAGCCUUUUAGACUGGUAAUUUGCAAUCCCGAUUUUCUUAUUCACUGAAUCCGGUGCAAAUCAGAAGUAAGGGGAGGAUACUGAUGACUCCUUCUGGCAUAUGAUAGACACCCUUUUUCCUUCUUCUGCAGAAAAUGAUGGGAUUCGCCAUGAGCAUUGUGGAAAAGAUGAGCUCCUGUAAAUUGUCCAGAGACAAGGUGAAGAAAGCUGUGCUUGUUAUGGUUUUGCUUGCUGUCAUCUUGAUCUUCUUAAUGCCAGGGAUGUAUUAGGCAGCAUAAACCCUGUAAGAUGAUGCAAUCACAGCAUCUCCUGUUUCAGUUAGUACUGUACCAUGUGGUAGUGUGCCCAGAGAUGCUCAGAAUUUCUGUAUGAGAUUUGAUUAGAUUAAUUCUAAAAUAAUUAAAAAAUUAAAUUACAGCAUAUUAGAUUAAAAAACACAAAGGCCUAGAGACAUGUGAAACCACCUCGUAAACCAGGUCCUAAACCGAAUAGAUCCAUGGCACAAAAGCCAUAUUUUAUACAUUAAUUUAAUGAAAAAGGGAAUGUCCAUGGUAUAAUAAACAAAAACAAAAAAACAUUUUGAUGAACAAGUGAUGUGCUUCCCAAUAAGUGGGGUGGAAUUCCAAGUAGAAACAAAAGCGGAAGUAAGGCCACUUCCAUUUAAAAAAAAAAGAGUAAAAAAUAGGUUCCAUAGAACUAUAUUAAAUACUUUAUUAAUAAAUUCGUCUUUAUUUAUUAGGAGUUUUCUAUGCAAGGUAAUAUUGUUGGUACCAUUCCAAUUCCAUUGGAUAGUGUAAUUUUCAUGUCCUUUUCUUUUAUAGAUCUUGUUUGGGCUAUAGUUGAAAUACUUUAGCAUUAAAUUUUGAUUUGUUUUUGCUAUAAAUAAUUUUUUUUAGUUUAUUAGAUUGUUUUAAUGGACUGAUGUUAAGAAUAAAUAUUAAAAUAUUAAAAAAAAUAUUAUUUUGAUGUAUUUAUAAAAAAAAUAUUUAAAAAAAAAACUUUUACCACAUUUUCAAAUAAAACCUUAGUUUAAUACCAAGUAUAAUCGAUAUGGAGUUUCAUUUUAAAAGUAUCAAUAGCAUAUUGAUAAAUCUUUCUUUUAGUGUGUUUUUAACAUUGUGAUACAUUUUAUGAUUGCGUUUUGAAAAUAUAAAUUUAAAAAAGUUAUAAAUUAUAGUUUUUUUAAUUAAUAUUUUUUUUAAAAAAUUAGGAGUAUCAUGCAAAAUUGUAGUAUCUUUUGAUUAACUAAACAUUUUUAAAUCUAUAAUUAAAUAAAAACUCAUAUUAAUCCACAUUGCAUCGCAAAAAUAAAAAGAGAUAUGGGUGUUUGAGAAUAUUUUUAUUUUUAGGUACAUCUCAAAAGUGUUUUUAACUUAAAAAAAUAUAAAAAUUAUAUUUUAAUAUAUUUUUAAUUAAAAAAUUAUUUUAAAAAGCAAUCAACAAUAUAUUACGAGACACACAUUAGUUUCAUGAGUUAAUCAUUCAAUUCAUAGAUUUUACUCUUUUCAUUUCAAUUUUAUUUCUCUCUCUAAAGGACGACCAAUUUGAUAUAUAAAUAAUUUAUUUUGAUAUGAAAUUUAUAUAUAUUUAACACCUCAUACUUAGUUCUAUAUAUUUAAGACCACAAGACUUGAUAACUAUCUUAAUAAGUAGCAUUAAACACCAAUGAUUCUCUUUUCUAAAAAAAAAAUAUGGGUCCAUGCACGCAAAAUUUUAGUGCCCAAUCAAGAUAUGAUCAAGUUUUUGGUUCAAAAAUCCAAAAUAACAUCAAGUUUUUGGUUCAAAAAUCCAAAAUAACAAUGAAAUGCUGCAUAAAUCCUUAAUUAAUCUCGUAAUCUUGAUAUCAUAAUCUAAUAUUUUAUUUUUCAUGUAAUUUAUUAUUUUUAUUUACUACCAUGAAAAAUAAAAUAAAAAUCAUUUUAAAUUAUAAAAAACAAAUGAGAAAGAUUUAAGGAAUGUUGUUUUACCGGAAUUGACUUGAAUUAAUGAGAUUGUUUUAUAGUUAUUUUAUCCGAUAAAUAUCAACUCAUUCAUAACUUGAUACACACACACACACACACUCACAUAUAUAUUACUUAAAUAAUAAAUCCUUUUGUAAAUAUUCAAAACUGAUUUUAAUAUUUAAAUUUUAUACCAGGUAAAUAAUAAAUAUAAUAUAAAUAAAAUAAAAUCUGAUCCAUGAAUUAAAUCAUCAUUAUCAACCAUAUAAAAAAUGUUGUAACUCGACUUGAUCCAACAAGUAAAAAUUUGAACGAUUUAGGAUAAUAUAUGUAAUUUCAUAUUUUUCCAGUAAUUAAUUUCUUUUGUUGCCGUGCUGUUAAUAAUGCACCCCCAUACACACGUUAUAGAUUGCAAACUCCCUACCAAACUGUAUCUCUCCCUCUCCCUCUCUCUCUGGCAUGUCCUUUUCUAAGCCCGCAUUCACAUUUGGUCUCGGUUUCUUUGAUCAAUCAAGUAAUCUCUUUCCAUCUCCUUAAAAAAAAAAUUCUCAAACUUUGAUGGGUUUUGUUCGAUUCUGAUCUCAAGGUACAGUUUUCAAGAUUUUGAUUUUCUUUUUGUACACUUUUGGUUUUCUGGCUUCUUUGAUGGAUUUCUGAAAUUGGUCUUGGAGAUUUUUGGAUUCUCCGUUGAAUUUGGUGCAAAGGGUCUAUUUUUUAGAAGAUUUUGAGCUUUUUUAGUUUAUUUAGCGUAUUUUGGAAUCUGGGUUUUUUUGUGGUUGUUUAGAGAAACUGGUAUAUUAGGAUUUUUUUUUUUUAGUUUUGCUCAUUUUAGAAAGUUUUAAGCAUGUUCUGUUUUUUUAUGAUGAUUUAGAGAAAUGGGAGGUUUUUGGGUUUUAUAGAGUGUUUUUUUUUCCUUGCAUUGUAGCUUCUUGGGUGGGAAUAAGAUGAAGAGGUUAAAGAAUGAACCUUCUAGUACUAGGAGGUGCAAGCUGUCGCAUUUGUUGUUGGUUAUAGGAGCAUUGUACUUGGUGUUUUUAGCAUUCAAGUUUCGACAUUUUUUAGAGAUUGCAGCAAUGGUGAGUGGGGGUGAUAGUUAUGUUGGAUUGGAUUCGUUUUCCAUGGUAAAAGAUGUUGAAGAUUCUGAUUUAAGCAAAUCGUUUUUUAGUUCGGUUUAUAAGGAUACGUUUCACCGGAAAUUAGAAGAUAAUCGAAACCAAAACGCACCGAUGAUGCCCAGUAAGGAACCUUUGGAAGAGGAGAAAAGAGGGGGGACAAAAACUAUAAAACCAAUUCAGUAUCCUUAUGGUCGAAUAACAGGAGAAUUUAUGAGGCGAAGGAAUGCAACUAGGAAUUUUUCACCAUUUGAGAGAAUGGCAGAUGAGGCUUGGCUGCUUGGAUUAAAGGCAUGGGAAGAAGUGGAAAAUUAUGAUGGAAAGGAGAUUGGACAGAGUUCUUUAUACGAGGGGAAGAUUGAGUCAUGUCCUCUGUGGGUAUCCAUGAGUGGCGAGGAGUUCGCUGGAGGGGAAAAGUUGAUGCUUCUUCCAUGUGGUUUAGCAGCAGGGUCAUCUAUAACCAUUGUGGGAACACCCCAUCAUGCACACCAGGAGUAUGUACCCCAGCUUACAAGGUUGAGGAAUGGUGAUGGCACUGUUAUGAUUUCACAGUUCAUGAUUGAGUUGCAGGGGUUGAAGUCAGUGGAGGGGGAGGAUCCACCGAAGAUUCUACAUUUAAAUCCUCGAUUGAGGGGAGAUUGGAGUCGGCAUCCUGUCAUUGAGCAUAAUACCUGCUAUAGGAUGCAAUGGGGGACAGCUCAAAGGUGUGAUGGUUUGCCAUCCAAGAAAGAUGAGGACAUGCUGGGUAAGAGCUACCUUGUUUUUUAAUAGUGUUGGUUAACUCAUUUUCCUUGUUUGCUUAUGUAUGCUAAGUUAAAUGCAACUUGGAAAGAUGAUUACUUAAUGUAUACUUUUAUUAAAGAAAGAUGAUGCAAUGGGGGGGUGGGGGGGCUUACAUUGAGGGGACUCAAGUCCCUAGAAUUGAUGUUUUGUUAGACAUUCUCUACACUUUUCUUCACAUAAGUUGUGUGAGGUGAAAGAGAUGUGAUUGCCUUCCUAAAUCUUUCUAGACAAUUCAGUUAGUGCUAGGGGCAUAAGUGAAAACUGCAUAUAGCCCUAGUUCAGAUUAAAAUUUGUGUUGAUGACCAUUUACAUCAGGUUGGUACUCGACCAUUGACCCCUUGAUUUUAUGCUAGGAUGCUGGUAAGAUCCUAUCUAGUUAUGCUUUAGUUUCUACUUCGAUAGUACAUGGUUUUUAGUUAAUAUAUAGUCAAAGAAAUGUCUCAACUGAGAUGCAAUAUUCAGAUCUAACUAUUAUCUUUGUUUUCUUCCCCUGUUUUCUUAUUAAGCACCAUGACAUUGUUUCUGAUAUUGAUGCCAAUUUCUGCACCACCUUUCCUUUUCAUGUAGAAAUUAGAAAAUGAUGCACUUGCCAGAAUUUAUAUUUUAGCACUUUGCAGACGGAUUCUAGCUUACCUAUGGUUAACUUGUUAACAAAUGUGAACUAGAUUUGAAAAGUAGGUUUAGAGUAUCAUUAAGCUUAGAUUAAUUUCCUCAUGGGUGUAAAUGACAUAAAGGUGGGUCAGAGUUGGUGAAGAGUUUUUGCUGGUCUGGUUUGUGUUAAACUGUAUGAUUUCUGAAGCAUUUGUCUUUAUUGUCAUACUUACCUAAUAGUCGUUGAAGUUCUUAAUUGUUCAGCUUCCUUGUUAAUAACCACAUUUAAGCCCGCACCCUGAAGUUCUUUGUGAAUUUUGAUUCUCCCUACUCUAUUUUAGAAAAUUGAAUUGUAUAAUUUUUCUAAUGCAUGUAUUCGGCAGUUGAUGAACAUUUGAGAUGUGAGAAAUGGAUGCGGGAUGAUAAUGUAGACUCAAAAGAGUCCAAGACAACAUCGUGGUUUAAGAGAUUUAUAGGGCGUGAACAGAAACCUGAAGUGACCUGGCCAUUUCCUUUUGUGGAGGGAAAAUUGUUUGUCCUGACCUUGCGUGCUGGUGUUGAUGGAUACCAUAUUAGUGUUGGGGGCCGGCAUGUGACCUCAUUUCCAUAUCGUCCGGUAAGUUGAUAUAGAUGAGAAAAAAGUGAUUAUUAUACCCUUUGACAGUUCCUUCUGUUUCUCCAACUCAAAUGGUGAACCUUGGCCUUGUGGAUUUGGAAAAUGAUAUUUGCAUAUCUGAUGCACAAUGGGUUUUCUAGCUGUUCUAUCCACCCACUUGGGAGAAAUAGCACUUUCAAAAUAUUUGUGACAUUGACAUUUUUUUUAUGAAGAUUUCCAUGAACUAACCUUAUCCCUGUUUAUCAUCUUUUUAAGCUUGCCCUUUUCUUGAUUCCCUUUGCUUUCCACUGGAUUUCUUCAUUAUAGUCCCUGUAGAUUUUGCAGUGCAUAAUCUUAAUAGUUGUGUUUGUUAGAGUAGUAGUAUGUUUUGUUCAAUUAUAUAAUAAGCUCAAAAUAUUUCCUACAACAUUUUUCCGUGGCUUUAGGGAUUUACCCUUGAAGAUGCAACGGGAUUAGCAAUCAAAGGAGACAUGGAUGUUCAUUCAAUUUUUGCCACUUCUCUACCCAGAUCACAUCCAAGCUUCUCUCCUCAAAGAGUAUUGGAAAUGUCAGAAAAGUGGAAAGCUCAUCCUUUACCAAAGAGGCCAAUUCAAGUUUUUAUUGGGAUUCUAUCAGCUACAAAUCACUUUGCAGAACGCAUGGCAGUUAGAAAAACUUGGAUGCAAUCAUCAGCAAUCAAGUCAUCAAAUGUAGUUGCUCGUUUUUUUGUUGCAUUGGUAAGAUCUCCACAUUUAUUUCUUAACCCUCAAUUUUAUUUGUUUUUUAAGUAGCAAUGUUUAAUUGUAUCAACAGUCACUCAAUUAUUCCCUGAUUUGAGAAACAUACUUCAAUUAUUGAAUCUUUUAUGUAUUCUUUCAUCUUCUUUGCAAGUUUACCAAAGUCUUUUUAUCCAACUUCUCUUUCUUUCUGCUAAAAUUAUCCUUAAAUAAUGCCAUUCUAAAAAGUGACGCUCUAGUUGUUGUAUGGCCACAUCAAAAAAAGUUAAUGGAAAUUUGGAUCAAAGGACUGCAAUAAAAAUUUCAAAGAAAGUUGAAAUUGCAUUAAAUGAUUUGAAAUUGAGGAAUUUAAGUUGAGUAAUAGUUGAUGGUCCACUGACACAAUUAACAGCCUUACCCCACCUUUUGUUGUUGAUGAUUUAAGUGCUUGAUAUAAUUUUACAAGUCCAGAGAGCUUGGAUGCAAGGAUCUAUCUUUAUCAUUGCCCUAGAUAUUUUGUGUUGAAAUAUAAACAAGAAAAUACAAUGAAGAGCAAGAAAAACAAUAUUCAUGUACAUGGGAGCAUUGUGAAUUUACAAGAGUGUGUGUGUGUCUUUCAUUGUCAAAUUAUUUAAUCUACUUAAUGUAAUAUUGUGCAUUCUGUAAGAUGGACCAUUGUUUUGGAACAGAGGAAGCAGAACUAUGGUUAUUUACUAUUCUUUUUUUCUUUUUUUCCAUCCAUCUGUUAUGUAGAAUUCAUACUCUAAUUUAUCUUUGUACCUGUUCAUGAAAACCACAGAAUCCAAGGAAGGAGGUGAAUGCAGUACUAAAAAAAGAGGCAGCAUACUUUGGUGAUAUUGUGAUUUUGCCGUUUAUGGAUCGAUAUGAGCUUGUGGUUCUUAAAACUAUUGCUAUUUGUGAGUUUGGGGUAAGUCUAUGAUUCAUUCAGUUGGCAUUUUUCAUUGAAUCUUUUAAAUAGGAUCUUUGAGAACUAGUAAUUGUGUAUUUAUUUAUAUCUCCUGAAUAUAUUUUUUUAACACAUCUGAAUAUAUUUCAUGCAGGUUCAGAAUGUUUCUGCUGCGUACAUUAUGAAAUGUGAUGAUGAUACAUUUGUUAGGGUUGACACUGUCUUGAAAGAAAUUGACCGUACCUCUCGCUCCAAGUCACUUUAUAUGGGCAAUCUCAAUCUAUUACAUCGUCCUCUAAGAAAUGGCAAAUGGGCAGUUACUUUUGAGGUAUGUCAUGUGAUUUCUGAUUUCUUAAAAUCCCUGGCAGCAGUGUCUUUGCUUAUAUUAAUUCAAUUGUCUUGUUCUUUUUUCCCUUAAAAAACAAACUAAAACGUUAUAAUAUCUGGAGAAGGGGGGACAAAGGCAAAUUAUUAGAAUCUCUACAAAAUAUACAUCUUAACAAUCUCUUCUACGAGAUCAUAUAACCUGAACAUUCAGAAAAUGAAAGAAUUUUUAAUUGCUUAUCUGGUACACCAUCCUCUGUUUUACUAGAAACAACCUUGGUGAUACUGAUCAUGGCACUUAUGAAUUACUUGACUGAGUUACCAUAUGAAUUAACCAGCUUCUUUCUCAUUGAAGGAGCAUUAUUGGAAAUACUAUCUACAUUCUUGCAUUAUUUGCAAGAGUUGCCUACCUUUGUCUUCCUUUUUACCCUUCUCCUUUACAAUUUUUUACCGCAUUUGAUAUUCAUGGAAUGGAAUGGGUAUAGGUUCAGAAACUUGUUCUAGGCAUAGAAUGGCAGAAGACAGCUUUGAGAAGGCUGUGUGCGCUUCUUGGUUAGAGUUGAUAAGGGUUUUUUUUUUGGUAGUUAAAGAAUUCAAACAUCGUCCCUAAUCUGCUACCAGAGUCAUCCUUAAACUUGGUUCUUUUUUAUGAUUUUGGUACGUCAGGUCUUAGGGACCACGCUCUAGUUAAGCUCCUUUCAUGAAUCAGAUGGUCCUGAACAUACGAUACAUAUUGUUGCUUUUACUGUGAGUGUAAAAUGGAAAAGAAACUAGUAUUCUAGAUGUGGUUCGCAAUGUUCCUGCUCUUAAUGAAUUCAAAAUUUGAUUUCUCUGUGUUUCUGGAUGAGUAUGACAUGAAUGAUAUAAUUGUUUUUCUAUGUUCACUUCUUUCAUUUGAAGGUUAUUGCCUAUUGUAACAGGAAUGGCCUGAAGCAGUAUACCCUCCUUACGCUAAUGGACCUGGAUAUGUAAUUUCUACUGAUAUUGCUAAAUUUGUCAUCGCUCAACAUGGCAAACAAAGCCUCAGGGUUAGUGAUACUACAAUCUUAUUUAAUACUUUUUUUUCUGUUGGAGGAUGCUCUCCCUUCCUCUCCUUUUCUUUUAGCAAUUCUUUGACAGCUAUCUUUCCAAUCAGUCUGUGUUGUAAAAUAUGUUAAUUUCAUUGCAGCUCUUCAAGAUGGAAGAUGUUAGUAUGGGAAUGUGGGUUGAACAAUUCAACAGCUCCACCCCUGUCCAGUACUCCCACAACUGGAAAUUCUGUCAAUAUGGAUGCAUGGAGAACUAUUAUACUGCACAUUACCAAUCCCCAAGGCAGAUGAUCUGUCUAUGGGACAAGUUGGCGAGAGGUCGGGCUCAAUGUUGCAACUUCAGAUGACAUAUUUUAUCAGAUGUCUCCGAGGAGCCUUUAGAUGAUGGCGGCAGCUUUAUUACACUGGUUGACACGUGUUCAUAUUCUUGUCCUUAUUUUAUGCUUGGACCCUCUGGUCAGGUCACCUUUGCCGAUUUUGUUCAUUUAAGUGGGCUCUAGAGAUGGCUGUUUUUUAAUUGCAGCCUUUGAUUUUUGAAGAACAGACUUUUCAUCUUGUAAUUGAAAUGGCUUCUAGCCAAGGCCAAAACAUCUCGGCUUGAACUAAAAGCUGGAGAAAUUGUAUAUACCCUACUUUCUAUUACAAGUAUCGAUUCUGUUAGUGCAGAAGUGAGAAAAUCCUUUCGACUCAUUACAUGCUUCUGUUGCAAAUAUAGGUUGGAAAAUUUGAAGGACUAACUUGUUCGAAGUCGUGCACAUAUUGCUAGUCAUUCUUCAGCGUAAUAAUUCCUUUAAGGUUUUGUUUAUAAAGGUUUGGCUUGCUCUAUAUGCGCUUGUGUGGUGUGUUGUGGGUGGAGAAGCUGACAGAUUUUUGGGUAUCACUUCCUAUCUGGUGUGUACAAAAACCUGUCAGCUUCUCCACCCUCAACACACACAAGCGCAUAUAGAGCAAGCUAAACCUUUAUAAAACAUAACCUUAAAGGAAUUAUUACAGAGGAAUGAAUAGAAACUUCAUCAUUUAAUAUUUAACACUUCCUUCUUGAUUUUGAAUUUGCUUUAUAAAUUAUUUUAGUUUUUUUUUUCUACAAGGUUAGAUUACUAUACUUUUAAAUAAAUAUCUUUUUAUUUGAUUUGUGCCUAGUCAAGUUUAUACUUAAUUUUACGAAUGUUUAUUUUUAUUAUCAUUUAAUUAAAUGAAAAAUAAUAUUUUUUAAAAAAAUUCUUAAGCUCAGUAAAGUUCAUUAUUCGGAUAAUGGAUUUUAUUAGUUAAGUCAUGAAACCCGGAUUGAUCUAAUAUAUUAUAAUUUUAAUAUUAAAAAAAGAUCAGAAUAAUUUUUUUUUCAAGUCCAACCAUGCAUUUUAUUAGUUAUCCGGGUUAUUUUUGAAAUCUUCAAGUAGACUUGGUUAUAUCGGGAUAACUUUUAUUCGAAUUGAAAGAUUUCAAAGUUGGUCCGUUGAAUUAAAUUUAAUAAUAAUACCGAAAUAGGUUUUUAUGGCAUAAAUGUUUUCUUUUACAAUCAAAAUAUUUUUUAUUCAAGUGGCGCCGUGUACACUACUAAAAAGUAAAAGAGUUGCGGAUAAUGUGAUUAAAGGAAAGGAGAAAGAGUGCUUGGAAGCAAUUUCAUGUUUGAAUUCCCUUGUUCAACCUGAUGAUAAUGACAGAAUUGUUAUCAGUCAGCAACCACCGAAAGAGCAAAAGAAGGCUAUGAAAAGGAAGAGGUAUUGCUUGACCUUGCUUUACUUGGACUCUUGGAAUUGAUGAUUGAAUUGCGAAAUGCUUGCUCUUUUUAGUGGAUGCACUGUUUAUGAUAAGAAUUUGAAACUUUAGAAAGUGUUUUGUUGCCAUAGAUAGUGAAGACAAAAGAAAUGUAUUAAAAAGUAGAAAUUCAAUUUAAAAUUAUCUCAUAAACAACUUUUUUUCAUUUGUUUCUAUCUCUUCAACUGAACACCUAGAAAAACAGGUGUUGUGAUUCUUAUAGCAAGUUAUUGUAUCAAGGAUAAUCCACUCAAAAGCAUUUCCAUGGGAGUUUUGAGACUAUAACGUGCUGCAGCACGGUUGUCUAGCACUUACAUACAUCCUUUUACUUCUCGUCAAGACUGACUACUCUAAUUACAUACAUAGGAAGAGACAUGUGGAAGGUCAGAUCUCAAACACCAUCAUUUUUGUUUCUCUGCAACUUUCCUCGAGGUUCUGCUAUCAAUGGUUUAACGCAGUAUGUAGCUAGCUGGGAGCUUGCUCUGAAUCUGGUGUGCUCUGUAAUGGCUAAGGUCUAUUUACAAACGACUCUUCAAGCCCUGUUGCUCAGCCUGGUUCUUGAACUUUUAUACCGUGUAGUGGCUCUACUUGGUGGGUGUCAAUACCACCACCUGGGCACUUUUGAAUCCAAACUAGAUGACAAUCUCUUAUCAUGGUCUUACAGUAUUGAAAACCUGAGAAGCCGGCACGAAAGACAAAAUGUCUGAAUCACCGCACUCUGAUUUCCUCGGACUUGAAGUGAAACCACUCUUGACAGCUUUCCUAUCUUUGCGUCAGGUAUUUGUUUCCUGUUCUAGAUAAUAGUUAUCAGAACUCAUCCAUAACUUAUCAAGAAAAGGGUUCAGGUCACGGGUCAAUUCUAAAGCCACUGGCUUGUAUGUUUUUAUUAAAAUAAUAUUGUUUUGUUAUUUUUUAUAUAUAAACCCGAUUUUUUUAUCUGGUUCAACUAAAAACCUGAUUUAAGUAAAAAGGAUUCGAGUCCUCAAUUUCCAACAUUAAUCCACCAAGCCAGGUUUAAUGAUCCGGCAUAUCUUUCACGUGCAUUCAGUUCUUAGUUCAACUCCUGAAUUUCACCAAAUUAGGCUGCUCAUUAUUAUACAAUGUCGGAUGUUUGACCGAUGCCGCUCCUAUGAUACAAGUUAUGAUGAUCAAAAUCAAAAUUCUCUGCUUUGGACCUUCCUCUAGUUCCAGUUUUAAGUGAAAUUUCAACGAGAGAAAAGUCUGUCCUCCAGCUGCGUUCACCUUAACAGUUACCUCUUCUUCGCUGUUUUACUUAAAACGGGAUCGUUACGGAGGAAACAUCCUAAGCUGAAUAGAUUUUCUGGUGAAUGAGAACAAAUAAAUAGCGACAUGAUUUCGAUCUGUCAGAAGCUGUAGAACACACGCCUCCAUGUAAGUAAUUCCAAGCAGACCACAAAGAAAAGAAGGAACAAAGCCAGUUGCAGUAGGAAAACAACAGCCUAUAUGACAGGAUACAUAUUGGUCUUUUUCAAGUUAACAAGACUUUACAAUUUGACUGUGGUUGCCUUCAUUCUACUAUGAGGGGGUUAGGCAUUGGGAGGUCAAACUGACAACAAAAUUAGCAAGAAAGCCUACUACAUCCACGCUAUGGCAGCAUAACUACAAAGAAACACCUGCCAUUGACCGUUGUUACAUUUUCAUUCUGAUCAUAGUAGAGUAAAUCACCAUGUCAUCUAAUCACAGUAAUUCACAAAGGACAUGAAAAAAAAUAAACGAACGAUAAACUAAAUAAGGUUCUUCACUAUCUGUUCUACUAUCAGAAGUGAGCAGGUGGUCAUUGUUCCAUGCACCUACAAGUAACAAGAAAGGGAAAAAAAAACAUAAGGUUACUUGUUUGGUAUACAUCAAAUUGCACGCAAAUUAAUCAGCAUAUUAAGAGCAGAAAAGAUAGCAGGUACACAUAAAGUCUUAAACCCAAUGGAUGACAGAGUCCAUAAACGUACAUAAUUCAAAAGGAGGCGUCAACACAUAAAGGGAAGCAAAAGGGAUUCAGGAACAACAGAAAUUCUAAAGCUAAACUACUCGGAUGAUGAUUUACAACUAAGCAGCAGGCUGAUCAAAUCACACCUGGAGGGAAAUCAUUAACAGGAAGAAAGUUACACUACAAGAAACCUGUACUUUGACUACCAAGGGGCUAUGGUUUGGUCCUGAACCUGACAUGAUAUUUAAGUUGUCAAAUCAAAGGACAGAAUAGAAAACAGAACAUGUGGAAAAAUGAACUUUUUGAGAAUUUACAAGCUUUAAAAAGGCUUGUUAUCAUGAGACGGAUAGUUUGAUGCAGAAAACCAGCCCAGCUCUCAAGACCAAAAAAUGCAUUAAAAUAACUCCGUAUUAUAUACCCAAUCAAAAAUAAAAAGAGAAGGGACUCACAUCCACCAUUGAGAAAUUCAACAUGUAUACAAGAAGUUUUAUAAUCAGUUUUUUUUUCCCACCAACUAAAUCACAAGCACAGGAGCCACACGCAAUAUGGGAGCUUGUUGAACAUACUAACCAGUCAUCACCACAGAACAUCAUGACCGUUUGAAUAAAUGAUGACGUGCUAACACCUCUCCUACCCCCACAGCAGAUAUGCUUUCACAUCCAAGAAGAUCACGAAGCUUUGUAUCACAUUGUAUCACCAUUGAAUUUAACGGAUCCUAAAAACACAUGAAAACCAUUGAACUUUUACAUUAAAGUUAACUUAUCUAUAAAAGAACUGUGUUUAGACAUCGAUGCACUACAAAUACGGUUUAUUGGACGAAAAAGGCAGUGUAUAAUAACAAAGAGAUUUGUACAAAACAAGAGGUAUAUGCAGGAAAAUUAGUUGAGGUAAAGGGAUGUAGUAGACUUUAAGUGCUCCCAAUAUGGAAAGUCAUGUGUAGGGAAAGGGAUGAAUAUAUACACUCAUUACCCACCUCCAACUGUUUUAGCUUUAUGUACUCCCAAACACGUCUGGAUGCUUCUGUUUGGGUCAUUUCCCUCUCAGUAGUCCCCAAAAACUCAGCAAGUCCUUCAGAUAUUACCACAAGAGAUGCAGCAGGUUCUUUAUUUUCAGUUGUGGUCUCAACAUCCACCUUCGCUCGCUUGGCUUGACCAGAUUCCUCUGUGCAAAUAUUCACAAGAACAAAAAAAUAAAUUUAACAUUCUCAAAGUCACCACAGAGCAACAAAAAUAUGCUUCACUGUAAUGAUCACAGUACAUACUUGAUGGUUGAAGUGGGAUGAUAUGUUUAGCUAGCAGCUUAUUCAUCUUAAACAUAUCAGUGCAGUCAGUCUCAAAAACCACGCGCAAAGCAUCAUCACAAAUUAUCUUCCUCUUGUUACUUGGAUCCUGGAGGUUGUUUUUCCUUAUGUAUUGCCACAAUUGCUUCACAAUCUGAACACACACACAAUGCACAAUUCUUAGAAACAAUAAUCACUCCAUAAACAGCACAGCUGCUCAACCAAACUAAGAAACGAGCCUGGUCAACAGCAUACCUCAGUCCUUGGCAAGGCUGGCUCCCCAACAACGACCUGAAGUUCAGGUGAAACACCACACACUUUGUUUAACCCACCAGGUCCACCUCUUCUUUUGGAUCCAACUGGAGUACUGCUGCAAAGUAGUAAAAACCCAAACACCAUUCAAUCUCCAUAAACGGCCACAACAGAUUCAAGCUCCAAUCAAACAAAAUCACCAACGGCCCAAGAUCAUCAACUAAAAAAACCCAAAAUAAAAACUUUCACACUAACCAUAAGCUAACAGAUGCCCAAAUUUUGGAUUUUUCAAUUUAGCAAAAAAAUAGCAUUAAACCUUCAAUUGGGUCACUCUUUUAACCAUUGAAAGUGAUAGUUAUUAAUAUUUUUUUAACCCUCUCAGUCUUUUAGUAACUAUAAAGAAUUCGACUUUAUAACAAAAUCUUACCAAUUAAAAACAAAUGGAAACUAUAAACCCUAAAAUUUGAAAAUAAAAUAAAAUAAAAUAUUUCAAAAUGCAACAAUUAAACCCCUAAAAACCUAAAAUUGAGCCCUAAAAAACACUAGAAUCGAGAAAUAACAAAAAGUCCUAAGCUU